AGCAGGAUGUAUGAAUGAAUAUUGUGUGAGAAAGCAUGUUUUGUGAGGUAUUGAGCUCCAAAGUUUUUAUUGUUGUAUGCAUAGUUCACAGGAAAACAUGAAUGAUAUUGCCUUAAUCUUGAUGAUUGAUUGAAUUGCAUGUGAAUGUCAUAUGAUCAAGGCCAUUUUGUUUGAAAGCCCUUCUCUAGCCAAAUUUUCACCCAUAGAGCUUAAAAUUUUAUACCCUUUUUGAACCUUGGCCUUAAACAGGAUNUGAACCCUUGUCUUGAAAUUCUUUACCUUGAGUUGGGAUGAGCUUAACUGUAUGUGAUGAAAAGGUUCAAGUUUGGGGUUGCAUGGGGGAAAUUGGAAAGCUAUUAAGAAGCAUUGAGCUCAAUUGUUGAAAAAGAAAAAUGCAUGAGAAAAAGAAAAAAAUAAGAAAAAGCAUGAAGAUGAGCUCAAUGAAAAAGAAAAAGGGAAAAAGUUGGGAAUGAGAGAGAUUGGUGAGGAAGAGAGUUGUGCUUAAAUGUUGAAUAUUAUGAUAGCUCUCUUAACUCAAGGAUUUUGUUUUCCAGAAGAAACCAAUUUUUCUUGUUAACCCAACCUCAUUAC
rnacentral:lncRNA from 1 species